GCAGAGCAUGCAAAAAGAGCACAGUAAUGAAUGCUACCCUGUUGUCUGUAUAGCUCGAGUGAUUUCCUGCUUUCCAGAGAAAAAAGAAAGAGCAUAUCCUCUUGACUUGGGGCUUUAUAAAUUGUGUGGUUGCCUGCAUUUUGUUAAUGUUAACUGCCGAAAAAUUGUAAGACAAACUACUUGAUUUAAAUCAAUGGCUGCACUAAUAUGUUAAUAUAAGGUUGGCAUGUCGACAAGUUAAAAUCCUAAAAGUAGAUAGAACUGCACCAGCUAGCAAAUUAGACAGAAUUAGUCUUUAGCUUCUGGCACAUUUUUAAUAGCAACUGUUAGUAAAGCAAGGUCAGAGGUUUAAACUUUGUGCCAGGUUUUGCAAUUUGGAGCUUUGAAAAAUGCAAUAAAUUAAUUCAUGCUUAUAUGUUCAUUUGUCUUCCUAGCUCACAGAUCCUGCCUGUACACUGCCCAUAUAAAACACAAGGGAGGCUCAAAAGAUGACAGUGGAUGAAUGGAGGAGAAUAAAAGAUAAAAAAGGUAUUCUUGACUGUCUGCUGGGAUAUGUCACAGGUGGGGACCUGUGACAGUGUCAGAAGCAGCUCCUGACUGUGCUUGGCUGUGUGUGUGAAGAGGAAGACAUGUCUCCACACCUUCCAUCUUCAUGCUCUCAUCACCCCGAGGUGAGCUGAGAUGGUCACCAGUGCCUGCUCCUCCCAGACUGGAAGAUCCUAGUCUGCAGUCAAAAAGCUCUGCUGACACUGGACCAGAACAGGCUGACUCAGUUUCAUCAAAAAUUAGUGUUCAGCAAGAGAGAGAAACUUUUGGAUUAAUUUUACAAAACAUGAGCAUUUGAGUGGUCACAAGGAUUAAGCUGCGGUUUCAUCAUCUUUUGCUUAUUUCUCAACUGAAAGAAUAAGCUGUGAAAUCAAUUGGUUCCAGCAGGAAUGAUUAUGCACCUCAGGCUGAUUUCAGGAGACUCUCUGGAAGAAGUAGAAAAUACCUGGAUAUGUACAUCUGUGUUGGCUUCUCAAAUCACUGUUCAGCUCCUUCCCAAAUGAGCUCUGAAGAUGGAAAUCUAAACUCCUAAUGAAGGUACUUAGCAGUACAGAACAGCUGCUUCUCACCACUACCUGAAGACAUUUUUAUCACUAUAUUCUGUUAUGUGUAGAAAUGUGUUUCAUUAUUUUUAGUGCUGAAAUAUAACCUAAUAGAUCAUCUUGUAACUCCUCAUCCCCUUGUCAGUAUCACCAGGCAGGAUCUGUGUUGCUGACCUUGGGGGUGAAGGGAAGAUGAAUAUUUUUUCAUAAAAUUUUAAGACGCUGUUGAACCUAGGAUUGAAAAUUGGAUGAAGAUGAAAGAGUCUUGAGAGUGCUUCCUCUAUGUUGUCCAGUUGACUCCAUACUUAUGAAAUACUGCUAUUUAACAGCCAAAGAGUAGUUUAAUAGUUAUUUAACUCUUUUUUCCUAUGACCCUUUGCUAGUUGAUGGUUACUGGAACUUUCCUGUAUGAAAGUGCAAGGACUAGAGUUAAUGUAGACCAGAGUUCAAAAUAUAUGCGUGUGUGUAUAUAUAUAUAUAUAUAUACACACAUACAUAUGCAAGUGUACCUUCUAGGUUCCGUGAGUAACUCUGUUAGAAAAAAAAAUUCACCUGCUAAAACUUGGCAUGACCAUGCUUUUAUAUGAAGCUGAUGUUAAUUAAUGUGUGACUGUAGAAGGGGGUACUUCUGUAAGAUGGACUGAGAUGCUCUCUGAACUGAAUGUAUAUGUUAAAUAUGGCCUCAAAGUCCAAAGAAUAUGACUAAGGCUGCAAUUUCUUCAGCUUUCUAUGUUUCUUCAGUCUGGUAGGAUUAAAUUUUGCAAGGCUGACUAAUUGAAUGCAUCUUAUCUGUUUUCUUCCACCUCCUUGUGCAAGGCCCUUGCAGAGAAAUUGUGUUUAUUGAUUUUAAGGAUAUGCACUCUUUAGCCCUUGUUGCAGAGUCUGGUUUGUUUUCUGUCUAUAUGGACUACCAGUGGUUUUGCUUUUUCAUGACUGCUGUGUCUGUCCUGAUUGGCAGAAUGUAUUCCUUUGGUGCGUAAUAGGAGUGAAUAAAUGCAAACUGAAGUCAAUGAAUGAUUGUCCUACUACCUAGGGUAAGCUGAAACCAAAAUUACCUGUUUCAUCUUUAUAUAUUCAAUCUUGUUCCUAUGGGAUACUGCUGAAAACUAAUACAAGGCUUUGGUUUAAAUGGA